UUGGAGGGCAAGUCUGGUGCCAGCAGCCGCGGUAAUUCCAGCUCCAAUAGCGUAUAUUAAAGUUGUUGCAGUUAAAAAGCUCGUAGUUGAAUUUCGGGAUCGACGGGUCGGUCGCGCCUCUGGUGUGUACUGGCCCUGUCGGUUUCUCCCUUCUGACGAACCACGAUGUCAUUAAUUUGGUGUCGUGGGAAAUCAGGACUGUUACUUUGAAAAAAUUAGAGUGUUUAAAGCAGGCAUUCGCUUGAAUACAUUAGCAUGGAAUAAUGAAAUAGGACGUUUGAUCUUAUUUUGUUGGUUUCUAAGAUCGACGUAAUGAUUAAUAGGGAUAGUUGGGGGCAUUAGUAUUCAAUUGUCAGAGGUGAAAUUCUUGGAUUUAUUGAAGACUAACUACUGCGAAAGCAUUUGCCAAGGAUGUUUUCAUUAAUCAAGAACGAAAGUUAGGGGAUCGAAGACGAUCAGAUACCGUCGUAGUCUUAACCAUAAACUAUGCCGACUAGGGAUCGGAUGAUGUUAAUUUUAUAAUGACUCAUUCGGCGCCUUACGGGAAAC
rnacentral:rRNA from 1 species